rnacentral:rRNA from 1 species
GGGGUCGACCCUGUCGGCAUUAUUGGGCGCAAGAGCUCGCAGGCCGCUUGUCACCUCCGUUGUGAAAGCCCGGGGCUUAACCCCCGGUCCGCCGUCCAUACCGGCAGGCUAGAGUUCCGUAGGGGAGAUCGGAAUUCCUGGUGUAGCGGUGAAAUGCCCAGAUAUCAGGAGGAACCCCGGUGGCGAAGGCGGAUCUCUGGGCCCAUACUGACCCUGAGGAGCGAAAGCGUGGGGAGCGAACAGGAUUAGAUACCCUGGUAGUCCCCGCCGUAAACGGUGGGCACUAGGUGUGGGCGACAUUCCCCGUCGUCCGUGCCGCAGCUAACGCAUUAAGUGCCCCGCCUGGGGAGUACGGCCGCCAGGCUAAAACUCCAAGGAAUUGACGGGGGCCCGCACAAGCGGCGGAGCAUGUGGCUUAAUUCGACGCAACGCGAAGAACCUUACCAAGGCUUGACAUACACCGGAAAGCAUCAGAGAUGGUGCCCCCCUUGUGGUCGGUGUACAGGUGGUGCAUGGCUGUCGUCAGCUCGUGUCGUGAGAUGUUGGGUUAAGUCCCGCAACGAGCGCAACCCUUGUCCCGUGUUGCCAGCAGGCCCUUGUGGUGCUGGGGACUCACGGGAGACCGCCGGGGUCAACUCGGAGGAAGGUGGGGACGACGUCAAGUCAUCAUGCCCCUUAUGUCUUGGGCUGCACACGUGCUACAAUGGCCGGUACAAUGAGCUGCGAUACCGCGAGGUGGAGCGAAUCUCAAAAAGCCGGUCUCAGUUCGGAUUGGGGUCUGCAACUCGACCCCAUGAAGUCGGAGUCGCUAGUAAUCGCAGAUCAGCAUUGCUGCGGUGAAUACGUUCCCGGGCCUUGUACACACCGCCCGUCACGUCACGAAAGUCGGUAACACCCGAAGCCGGUGGCCCAACCCCUUGUGGGAGGGAGCUGUCCAAGGUGGGACUGGCGAUUGGGACGAAGUCCUAACAAGGUAGCCGUACCGGAAGUGGUGAGAGCCCCCCCCCCUCUAUAUAAAAAAAUGUAUUGCGU